AUUGAACGCUGGCGGCAUGCCUUACACAUGCAAGUCGAACGGCAGCACGGGGCAACCUGGUGGCGAGUGGCGAACGGGUGAGUAAUGCAUCGGAACGUACCUUUCAGUGGGGGAUAACGUAGCGAAAGUUACGCUAAUACCGCAUAUUCUGUGAGCAGGAAAGCGGGGGAUCGCAAGACCUUGCGCUGAUUGAGCGGCCGAUGUCAGAUUAGCUAGUUGGUGAGGUAAAGGCUCACCAAGGCGACGAUCUGUAGCGGGUCUGAGAGGAUGAUCCGCCACACUGGAACUGAGACACGGUCCAGACUCCUACGGGAGGCAGCAGUGGGGAAUCUUGCGCAAUGGGCGAAAGCCUGACGCAGCGACGCCGCGUGGGGGAAGAAGGCUCUCGGGUUGUAAACCCCUUUCAGGAAGGACGAAGCCACUCGGGUUAAUAGCCCAGAGGGUGACGGUACUUCCAGAAGAAGCCCCGGCUAACUACGUGCCAGCAGCCGCCGUAACAC
rnacentral:rRNA from 1 species